GGGACUGUGGUGGAACGGUGUAUGGUGCUAUAUUAUUUUCAUAAAUUAACAGUCCCGGGAUCAAGUCCCGGCGGUCGCU